AGCAGCUGAGCGAGGACAAAGCUCCCAGAACCGACGGCUCCGACAACUCCAGCUCCGAGAACGAGGAAGGCACGGAAGGAGAAUCCGGAGAAAAGGAGGAAUCCAGAGGGGAAGGGGAGGAUGAGGAAGGAAGAGAUUCCGAGAAAGGGCUGCCAGAGGAGGUGUCCCAGAUUUCCCAGCUGAGGCAGAAGCUCCAGGCCGGGAGGAAAUCCCAGGAUCGGCAGAAGAAGCGGCACCGGGACCGGAUGGUGGAGAGGUAAACCCUGGCAAUUUGGGAUUCUGGGAAUAUUUCCCCCGUUUGCCUUUUUUAGGAAUUUUUGCCUUUUUUAGGGAUUUCACCCACCCUUUUCUAGG